ensembl:lncRNA
AAAUGCUGCCCCUGGAAUGGUUAAUACUACAUGUCAAUUUUCAUCCCCCCGAUUUGGGUUUCCUGGCAGUGUGUUAUCUAUGAAAGGCUGUUGGAGAAACUGGCAUGUCCCCUUCUUUACCUGCAGGUACAUAUGGCCUCCCAGACCCCAGGAGCCUGCAGCCUGCAUUUCCAAGAGGCCACUGCAGAGACUUCCACAGCACCUCUGUUUGUCUAAUGACAUGGGCACCAGAUUCCACACUUAUUUCACAUUCAGCAGUACAGCUCUGCACACAGAAAGUUGUCGUCCAUCUGAAAUGAGAAUGGGUGCUCUUUGCAGCUUUUUGCCUGGUGAGAUCUUUGUACAAAAGCCACUGAGUAAGUACAAAGGCUCAUUGUGACUGUGUAGGAUGACUCAUUGCCAAGCGAACUUUUAAAUAGGGAACUUUACUUCCAAAUCUUACCUUCCUUUGUUUCUUGAUCUGAAUACAUGCAGACAUUCUCUCCUUCCUUGUCCUAUUUAAAAUUCUUAAAAAAAGAAAAAAAAAGAAUGAACUCUUUCUGUAGUCAGGAUAAAAUGUUCUCCUGGUUAUCAUUCUAAAAAUAAUACUAUUUACCCAAAUUUCAUUUAUGAUUGCUUGUCACUCUAUUUGUUACUCAAGUGUCCUUACAUUUGUUCACAUUUUGUUCAUAUGGAACAACUGUUGUGUUGAACUCCAAAUCUCUUAUCUUUACAUGAGUGCUACAGAUACACCUUCCUGUCAUUUAGUUUCCAUUCUCUUUAAAAUUUUAAGUCCCUAUUUAAGGGGAAAAAAUUAAAUGAAAGGAGAGAAGAGGAGGAAGCAAAUGAAGAGGGUAGGUAAGGAAUGAAGAUAAGACUUUGAAAGGUAAAGAGGAAAUGCGACUUAACCAAGGUCUCUAAAACAGACACAUAGAGCCAUCUGUGAGCUAUGUGCAUAAUGGUAUUCCUUAACUUACCCAUGCCUGCUGUUUCCCUUUAAGAGUUUUUCCCCCUGAAUUGAAUGCUAUGUGGCAAUGUUAAGGAAAUAUUAAUACAGGCUUAUAAUAAUGAAAAUAUGGUAUAAAAUUUGAGAGUGGCAUCUUUUAGAAUUCCGAUGAACUCCAUGACUUAAUUUUUGCACAUCAUGAUCUAUACCUACUGUAUUUUAUAAACACGUGUUUUAAUGUAAGAUAAAGACUUUUGAGACUUAAAAAAUCCAAGGCAAGCUACAAAUAUAUUCCACAGGGUUCUGAACAGAGCUUGCUUAUAUAGGGUUUUAGUUUUUAUUAUAUCCAGAUUAAGAUGUUUAUUAGACAGUACAAACAUGGAAUAGUAAUUCACUGAGGGUUAGUAUACUGCAACUAUAAUUAAAAUUAUUAUGAAAAUAAUAGUUUCUCUUU